rnacentral:misc_RNA from 1 species
GUGAAGAACGUAGCGAAAUGCGAUACUUGGUGUGAAUUGCAGAAUCCCGUGAACCAUCGAGUCUUUGAACGCAAGUUGCGCCCGAAGCCAUCAGGUUGAGGGCACGUCUGCCUGGGCGUCACAUAUCGUUGCCCAAUGCCUAUUGCAGUGCAAUAGGAAUUUCUAGGGCGAAUGAUGGCUUCCCGUGAGCGUUGUUGCCUCGCGGUUGGUUGAAAAUCGAGUCCUUGGUAGGGUGUGCCAUGGUAGAUGGUGGUCGAGUUAGAACGAUACCGAUCAUGUGCAUGCUCCCCAAAAUAUGGCCUCUAUGACCCACACGCGUCUUUUGACGCUCAUGACGAGACCUCAGGUCAGGCGGGGCUACCCGCUGAAUUUAAGCAUAUCAAUAAGCGGAGGA